CUCUGACACAGGUGCUGCAUGGCUGUCGUCAGCUCGGUGUCGUGAGAUGUUGGGUUAAGUCCCGUAACGAGCGCAACCCUGUCCUUAGUUACCAGCACGUUAUGGUGGGCACUCUAAGGAGACUGCCGGUGACAACCGGAGGAAGGUGGGGAUGACGUCAAGUCAUCAUGGCCCUUACGGCCUGGGCUACACACGUGCUACAAUGGUCGGUACAAAGGGUUGCCAAGCCGCGAGGUGGAGCUAAUCCCAUAAAACCGAUCGUAGUCCGGAUCGCAGUCUGCAACUCGACUGCGUGAAGUCGGAAUCGCUAGUAAUCGUGAAUCAGAAUGUCACGGUGAAUACGUUCCCGGGCCUU
rnacentral:rRNA from 1 species